UAUAAGACUGGGAUAACUUCGGGAAACCGGAGCUAAUACCGGAUAACAUUUAGAACCGCAUGGUUCUAAAGUGAAAGAUGGUUUUGCUAUCACUUAUAGAUGGACCCGCGCCGUAUUAGCUAGUUGGUAAGGUAACGGCUUACCAAGGCGACGAUACGUAGCCGACCUGAGAGGGUGAUCGGCCACACUGGAACUGAGACACGGUCCAGACUCCUACGGGAGGCAGCAGUAGGGAAUCUUCCGCAAUGGGCGAAAGCCUGACGGAGCAACGCCGCGUGAGUGAUGAAGGGUUUCGGCUCGUAAAACUCUGUUAUUAGGGAAGAACAAAUGUGUAAGUAACUGUGCACAUCUUGACGGUACCUAAUCAGAAAGCCACGGCUAACUACGUGCCAGCAGCCGCGGUAAUACGUAGGUGGCAAGCGUUAUCCGGAAUUACUGGGCGUAAAGCGCGCGUAGGCGGUUUCUUAAGUCUGAUGUGAAAGCCCACGGCUCAACCGUGGAGGGUCAUUGGAAACUGGGAAACUUGAGUGCAGAAGAGGAAAGUGGAAUUCCAUGUGUAGCGGUGAAAUGCGCAGAGAUAUGGAGGAACACCAGUGGCGAAGGCGACUUUCUGGUCUAUAACUGACGCUGAUGUGCGAAAGCGUGGGGAUCAAACAGGAUUAGAUACCCUGGUAGUCCACGCCGUAAACGAUGAGUGCUAAGUGUUAGGGGGUUUCCGCCCCUUAGUGCUGCAGCUAACGCAUUAAGCACUCCGCCUGGGGAGUACGACCGCAAGGUUGAAACUCAAAG
rnacentral:rRNA from 1 species